ACAGCACCGUCAUUUGUUUCGGGGAAUGCAAAAGAGGUUUCAACAACUAACAGGGCAUGUUUCUGAGCAAAAUACGUCCCUUACAUGAUGUCGGAACACAUAUUGUCGGAGGCCACUGGUGGGUCUGUGUUCUCGCAAACAAACUCGUGGAGGCGAGUGAGGAAGGUCACUUCCAGCCGCCUCCCUCAGCCACAGGCCACCCUCCUCUGUCCACAGACAGACCAGACGGCAGGGAUGCAUUUGGAGGGCCAGGCCCCCUGAGGCCCUCACCUGACCAGCGCACCUCAGGACCAGGAGUCUCAGGUGUGGCCGAUGCUCUUCCUAAAGGCAGAUGCGGGCGAGGCUGACUCAUUUGGGCAAAGAAUGUCGUCAGUGUUUGAGAAGAUGGUGGAGAAAGGAGCAGUCCCAGGGCUUUCUCAUCCAGAAAGAGGCUGAUGCCAACAGAGGAAAAGACGGAGAUGCUCCAUCUUAAAAGAGACCGAGGAGGUAGGACAAGGAAAUGCCAAGCCUGAUGCUGGAACUGCGCUGAAGGGGAAAGUGCUGGGCGGGGCCUUGCACGGCCACCUGACAG